rnacentral:rRNA from 1 species
AUUGAACGCUGGCGGCAGGCCUAACACAUGCAAGUCGAGCGGCUGCAGGGUGCUUGCUCCUGGUUUCAGCGGCGGAGGGGCGAGUAAGGCCGGGAAACAUCCCAGUCUGCGGUGUAGAGGGGCCGAAAGUGGGGGCUAUUACGCUAAUACCCCAUAGGAAGUACGGGGGGAAUCUGGGGAUCUUAGGCCAUUGCGCGAGUGAAGGUGGCUAUGUCGGAUUAGCUAGUUGGUGGGGUAAAGGCCUACCAAGGCGACGAUCCGUAGCUGGUCUGAGAGGAUGAUCAGUCACACUGGAACUGAGACACGGUCCAGACUCCUACGGGAGGCAGCAGUGGGGAAUAUUGGACAAUGGGCGAAAGCCUGAUCCAGCCAUGCCGCGUGUGUGAAGAAGGUCUUCGGAUUGUAAAGCACUUUAAGUUGGGAGGAAGGGCAGUAAGUUAAUACCUCGCUGUUUUGACGUUACCAACAGAAUAAGCACCGGCUAACUUCGUG